rnacentral:misc_RNA from 1 species
AAGACUAUAGACCUGCGGAGUACCUGCGGAAGGAUCAUUACAUGCCGCGCUCUGCGCGGACUCUGGGGGCGGCUUGCUCCGCACCCAGGGCAUUUACCCUUUGUCUACGAAUACCCACCGUUUCCUCGGCAGGCCUGCCUGCCAACGGGGACCUCAUUCAAACCUUUUUGCAUUUAGAAGUCGUGUCUGAAUGGUAUCAAUCAUUUACAACUUUCAGCAAUGGAUCUCUAGAUCGGAAGA